rnacentral:rRNA from 1 species
GACGGUAACCAACCCCAUGGGUCGGGAUAGCCGCGGGAAACUGCGGGUAAUUCCCAGCGAAGUUCGCGUCGGGCAUCCGGUGCGAACCAAAGCUCCGGCGCCGUGGGACGGGCUGUCGUGGUAUUAGGUUGUUGGCGGGGUAACGGCCCACCAAGCCUCUGAUGCCUACCGGGCGUGCGGGCGUGGCCCGGCACACUGGGACUGAGAUACUGCCCAGACUCCUACGGGAGGCUGCAGUCGAGAAUCUUCGGCAAUGGGCGCAAGCCUGACCGAGCGACGCCGCGUGGAGGAUGAAGGCCUUCGGGUUGUAAACUCCUGUCGAGGGGGAGGAAGGCGCAAGCUUGACCUAUCCCUGGAGGAAGCACGGGCUAAGUUCGUGCCAGCAGCCGCGGUAAGACGAACCGUGCGAACGUUAUUCGGAAUCACUGGGCUUAAAGCGCGUGUAGGCGGAUGGGGACGUCGGUCGCUGAAAUCCCCCGGCUCAACCGGGGAACGGGCGCCGAAACGCCCCGUCUG